AACGAACGCUGGCGGCGCGCCUAAUACAUGCAAGUCGAGCGAGGAGACGUAGCAAUACGUUUGUAAAGCGGCGAACGGGUGAGGAAUACAUGGGUAACCUACCCUCGAGUGGGGAAUAACUAGCCGAAAGGUUAGCUAAUACCGCGUACGCUCCUUGGACUUCGGUUCAGGGAGGAAAGCGAUACCGUGGGUAUCGCGCUCUUGGAUGGGCUCAUGUCCUAUCAGCUUGUUGGUGAGGUAACGGCUCACCAAGGCUUCGACGGGUAGCUGGUCUGAGAGGACGAUCAGCCACACUGGCACGUGCGACACGGGCCAGGACUCCUACGGGAGGCAGCAGUAAGGAA
rnacentral:rRNA from 1 species